GCUUAGAGUUUGAUCCUGGCUCAGAAUGAACGCUGGCGGCGUGCCUAAUACAUGCAAGUCGGACGAGAAAGAGUGCUUCGGUACUUGAGUAAAGUGGCGCACGGGUGAGUAACGCGUAAGUGAUCUACCCUUGAGUUUGGGAUAACAUCGCGAAAGCGGUGCUAAUACCGAAUAAGCUCCCGGAAUCGUAAGUAACCGAGAGAAAAGAUAGCCUAUCCAUGGAAGCUUUCACUGAAGGAUGAGCUUGCGUACCAUUAGUUUGUUGGUAGGGUAAAGGCCUACCAAGGCGAAGAUGGUUAGCUGGUCUGAGAGGACGAUCAGCCACACUGGAACUGAGACACGGUCCAGACUCCUACGGGAGGCAGCAGUAGGGAAUUUUGCGCAAUGGGGGCAACCCUGACGCAGCGACGCCGCGUGAGUGAAGAAGGCCUUCGGGUUGUAAAGCUCUGUCAGAAGGGACGAAUAAGUACGGUUAAAUAGGCCGAUAUGAUGACGGUACCUUCAAAGGAAGCACCGGCUAACUCUGUGCCAGCAGCCGCGGUAAUACAGAGGGUGCAAGCGUUAUUCGGAAUCACUGGGCUUAAAGCGCAUGUAGGUGGAGUAUCAAGUCUGAUGUGAAAUCCCGGAGCUCAACUUCGGAACUGCAUUAGAAACUGGUAUUCUUGAGUUUGGGAGAGGGAAGUGGAAUUCCAGGAGUAGAGGUGAAAUUCGUAGAUAUCUGGAGGAACACCGGAGGCGAAGGCGGCUUCCUGGCCCCACACUGACACUCAGAUGCGAAAGCGUGGGGAGCAAACAGGAUUAGAUACCCUGGUAGUCCACGCUGUAAACGAUGAUAACUAGC
rnacentral:rRNA from 1 species